GCAUCUAGCCUGGGGCUGCCUGAGUGCUCUGUGGCACCACUGAGGGAGGACAGUGUAUGUUUGCAGGUCUUACUUGGCCUGAGUGGCAGUUCUGAGUCAGGGGUCAGGCAUGGCCAAAGUCUAAAUUCAAGGGUGAAUUCUUAUCGUUCUUGCCCUUAAGAUAUUUCCAUGCCAAUUGCCAAGUAUCCUGUUGCACUGCAAUGCUCUCAACUAAGGAAGGAAGAAGAUCAUAAGUUCAAGGCCAACCUAAGACUUGUGUGAAAUCAAGGAGGAAGUGAAGUUGGAUGAAGAUCCCAUCUGAGAAGAGGAUCAGUGUGGUGCCCAGGAUUGAGGAGCUCUGUGUCAUCAAAACUGGUGUUAGCAUCCUGGACAGCAGCAAAGGACCGUCCUAACUCUAACAGAGGAGAACCCCAGUCUGCUCAAAUAUGCCCGGCUUCUAGAGGCACAUAGGUAUCCACAAAAACCCAGCGAAGGCAUAUGGAGGACAGGACAUCCUACAAGUUCCAAGUCAAUGACGCUCAAGAUCUUCAUUACUGAUCUGGUGUACUGUGUGCUGUAUGCACAUCUUCACACAGACCUUAAAUCAUUUCUAAAUUAUUUGAAUCAACUAACACAAGAGAAAGAGUUGUUACUAUAUUAUUUAAAGGGUGAUGACAUGGAGAUUCUAUACGUGUUCAAUAUAGAUAUAAUUUUUGAAAGGUUUCAGUCUGUGUUUGCUCAUAUGCACAAAUGCAGAACACUGAGAUACAGAGUCAAUACCACACGUGGAAGGGAUUCAUGGAAGGUGAUGAAUGGGUGGGAAAUUUCUGAGCAAUGUGGUCUAGGAUUUUUCAUCCCUUAGAGGGUGCUGUGUGGAGGAAGUAACACAAUAUCCCUAUUUCUACCCAAAAAGGAGGAUCAUUUGGCACUCUGGUCACUUUUGGACAUCUCUGGGAUGACCUCCUGUGACCAUAUGAUUUGUGCAUAGUUGCAGAUUCCAAACAGGGCAAACUUGCUCAGCCUUCCUUGGGUGGUCUUAGAGAGCUGGAGGUCAAUAUGAGGAACUGAAGGGGAGCCCACUUGCAGGGGUUAUGGGAAGAACUUUGCCCUUUGGGAAGAAAACAAACAGAAUUUAACAGCAAGAGCAGAGACUUUAUUCCAUCUCCACCACAACCAGAUCACUGAACACCUACUGCAUGC
rnacentral:lncRNA from 1 species